AGGGCCUGAUUUCCUCGGUAGUUAACUGCAACCGGUUUUCUAAAACUUCGGCGGUUAACUGCCGAUGGGCAU
rnacentral:pre_miRNA from 1 species